rnacentral:rRNA from 1 species
CGGCGCGCCUAACACAUGCAAGUCGAACGGAGCUGUUUUCUCUGAAGUUUUCGGAUGGAAGAGAGUUCAGCUUAGUGGCGAACGGGUGAGUAACACGUGAGCAACCUGCCUUUCAGUGGGGGACAACAUUUGGAAACGAAUGCUAAUACCGCAUAAGACCACAGUGUCGCAUGGCACAGGGGUCAAAGGAUUUAUCCGCUGAAAGAUGGGCUCGCGUCCGAUUAGCUAGAUGGUGAGGUAACGGCCCACCAUGGCAACGAUCGGUAGCCGGACUGAGAGGUUGAACGGCCACAUUGGGACUGAGACACGGCCCAGACUCCUACGGGAGGCAGCAGUGGGGAAUAUUGCACAAUGGGGGAAACCCUGAUGCAGCGACGCCGCGUGGAGGAAGAAGGUCUUCGGAUUGUAAACUCCUGUCCCAGGGGACGAUAAUGACGGUACCCUGGGAGGAAGCACCGGCUAACUACGUGCCAGCAGCCGCGGUAAAACGUAGGGUGCAAGCGUUGUCCGGAAUUACUGGGUGUAAAGGGAGCGCAGGCGGAUUGGCAAGUUGGGAGUGAAAUCUAUGGGCUCAACCCAUAAAUUGCUUUCAAAACUGUCAGUCUUGAGUGGUGUAGAGGUAGGCGGGAUUCCCGGUGUAGCGGUGGAAUGCGUAGAUAUCGGGAGGAACACCAGUGGCGAAGGCGGCCUACUGGGC